CAUGUGAGCAGGGCAGGUGCCAUAGUCUCCUCCAUAGUCCCGGUUACUAGUCCACUGGCAACUCAACCCAAUAGCCCGGUUUCUUUUUGUAACUUUUUCUUACAAUAGUACUAUAGUUCAAGCAGGGAUAAUCGUCGGCUGGUGUCACAUUACAUUAAGAGUAAAUUGUCUUAUUACAAGGGGCCUCUACGUGUUGGCUUCGGCCCCACGCACGCCUUCCAAAUGCCCGGGACCCCAUGGUCCCGAGAAUUUGUAAGAGACAUAUAAUAAUA